GCUGUGAUGAAUUUGAUUAUGCUGAUCGUCUGACAUGAUAUAUUUUGUCCUCUAAGAAGUUCUGAGCUU